AGAGCCCCCCAGGGUCCCCUCAGAGCCCCCUCAGGGCCCACUCACGGCCCCCCCCAGAGCCCCCUCAGCCCCUCACAGCCCCGGGAGGGCUCCGUGCCCACCGCCCAGCUGGGCCCCGGGGCUCCGGGCACCCCCCCAGCGCCUCAGCGGGGCCGCCCCGUGCUCCCCUCUCAGCCCUGCUCCCAGCCCGGUACCCCCCCGGCACAGCCCCGGUGCCCCUCCAGGGUUGGGGGCCACGGGGCUCCCCCCCGGCCGUGCCCGCAGCCGGCACCGGGGUCUGGGGCUGCUCGGGGCCGGGGAUCGGUUGGGGCCCCGGGGUGGUGCCUGGCUCAUGGCAUGGCCCCGGUGCAGGCCCGUGGCUGGGCCGUGUCCUGGCCCUGCUGGGAGCUCAGCAGCCGGGGCUGGGGGCUGCGGGGUGAAGGUGCCCGGACAGAGCCAGGCACCCUGAAGGCCUUUGGGGCUGGCUCAGGGGUAAUGGGGCAGGUCCCUGGGAUCCCGCUAUGGGGUGAUCCGUCAGGAGCUCGGUGCCUGGUGUGCAGGGAGCUGGGUUCACCUCGCCGGCAGCCCGAUUUACGGGGCUCCCUUCUGCUUCGUGCGGCCCGCGUGCUGCCUGCUCUGCUGGAAGUUGUUUUUGUGCCCCCCGUAUGUGAGCUUAAAGUCCUUAAGCCGGUUCGCAUCCAGCCCGCUCCAUUAAGGAAACUGGAUCUCUGCCGUCCUUUUGAUGAAGCAAGGUUUAUGCCUCCAAGGAAUUUUCGGGAGGGCUUCGUUCUUCUCCACGCCGUCGGCUUUUCUCUGCUGGCACGUUCUGGCUCCUUCUGGGCGCGCAGUGCUGCAGAGCAACACGUGGCACCUCGCAGGCUGCAAACCCAGACACGCGUUCAUACGGAGCGGGGCCCUUCAGCCUGAAGGCCGGCAGCUCCUGGCACAGCCACGCCGUGUACGGGGGGCUCGGCGGUGCUUGUUGCACUCUGUUAACACCCCUUAAAGUGUGCCCUUUGAGAUCGCGUGGCCACUUGCUUUGUAACUUUUAGGGCACUGCCUGGCACAGUGAGCAGCCCCAGGCAGCAGCUCGCCGCUUUUCUCCUCGUCCCCAGCAGCACAGGCUGUUAUCGUGAAGCAGGGGCGGGUGUUUGACACAUUUUCGAAAGUGAAAGGGUUCUGUUUAUUUAUUUGUGUGACAUGCCACGAUUUUAAUGAUUUAAAAAAAAAAAAAUUGGACGGCUUUGGUCACUUUUCCCUGGAGCAGGGUCCCAGGAGAUGCAGGGAGGCUGUGUGCCGAAGCAGCAAUGUGGCCUCAGUGCUGUCUGCUGCUCAGGCUCGGCCGCUUGUGUUCCCCUGCCCACACCACGAGCACAGUGAUGCACUUUGCUGGGCAUUUGUGCAUGUUCUGGGUCCCAAGAUUUCUGAGUGAGGGUUUGAGAAGAGCGGUUUGUGUGUGCGGAGGAAAGUCAGCGCUGGUGACCGGGCUCUGGGGGAAAACCAGAUCAGAUUUUCUUCUGGCUUCGACUCGUUCGCAGGCUGCUGGUGAACGCUUCAUCCUUAAUCUUCCCGUGCCGGUAUCAGAUUCAGCGCUGGGUUGCUCCCAAAAGGGCAGGAGCCAUUUCGUAAGGCCCCGGGGAGCCUCGGUGCAGUGGGUCGGUGCCGCGGAGCCAGGAGGGGCGGCGAGGGGGUCCCGAAGCUGCCCGCGAACACCUCACAGAGCAGUUCCGUGACCCGGGGAGCCCGGGCAGCGGCCGCCCCGCGUUGCGCAGGAUGUGCUGAGGGCCGGCCUGCCGGUAGGAUUGUUUUCACCCACACGUGGUUAUUUUUAGCCCCAGCCCGUCCGGCUGCACGCCUGGCCCGGGGCUCUCAGGGCUCUCGCCGUGCCGUUCGCACGCCCCCAUGCCGGUGGUGGGGACGGAGCCGAAACCAGCGGUGCUGUCAGGAGGGGGCUGCUCCUCUUCGUGGCUCCCUGCUGGGACCUCACGGCCACCGGUGUCUGUCCGGCCUGUGGGUUCAGGCUCGUCUGUCCUGCUGGCUGCGUGGCCUGUGGCCGCCUCGGGAAGUGGUGCAUGGGAUCACAGUGAACACGGUGAGCGCCUCCAUGGUCCGAGCUGGUGUCGCUGAGCUUGCUCCUCUUCUCCUGUCAUCGCUGCCAGGGACAUCGCUGGAGAUGCGGGGAAGGUGCAGGGGCUGUGCUGGGGGUGGUGGUGUUGUUCCUGGCUUCUUUGGCCGUGGCACCGCUCACCUGAGCUCUGUUAGGUUGCCACCUGCCCCGUCCCCUUCCAGCCACAGGGAUAUCGCGGUCUGUGCCCCUCUGAGCCUCGGUGUGCCCUCAGAGUGCUCUGUGGGAUCCUCUGUGCGUGUGGCAGGCCGUGCCUGCCCCCUUCUGCGUGUGCUCCCAGUGGCCCGGUGCUGGGCUCCAGCCCCUGCUCUGCCGGCAUUAUUUGGGCAGGGGCUGACCUGGGUGUGGAUUUACCCCGUUUCUCCUUCCUGCAGGAGCCUGGGGGGGUCCAGCCAGGGAUCAGCCCCGAGCAGAGCAGGGGCACUGGGGCUGCCACGGGGCACUGUGGGACCGGGGUUUGUCCCGUGUUUGUGCUGUGCAGCAGCACCCCUCUAUUUUAUAUUAUAUUGAGCAUUAGGGCUGCUGGUUGUUUAACUGGUGGAGCAUUGGCACUGCACUUCUUUCAUGCUAUUUCACGUUUACCUCACCCACCACGAUGCCAAAAUCCGCACCUGCCCUCUAUUCCUCUGCCAGAACCUCUGAUUUCAUGCACGGCAGCAAGGGAGCUGCUUUGGUGAGCCGGCUGUGGCAGGAGCCCGGCGAGCUGGCGCCCUGGGGUGGGCACAGCCGGGUGCUGGUUUCUGUAAUAACUUCAUGGCCUCGCCUUUCCCACAGGAGGGAAAACCUGGAGGGGUUUGUGAGGCACCCGGACCCGCUCCCUUUUUCUUGCUUUUAAACAAAACGCUUUCAAAAAGCGGCGCUGUCCCCGAGGCUCCAAGGCUUUCGUUACAGUGCCUCUUGUUCUAGCUGCAGCCGUGCCCUGCCGGUGCUUUCACGGAGCAGAGGCUGCUCUUGGUGGGCAGCUUGAGGACAUCUCCGCAGAAGAGAAGUGUUUUUUGACGUGCCAGCUCAAAGUGUGGCCGUGGGGCCGGCCGAGGCAGCUCGCUGGGUGCCCCUUCCCCGCCGCGGGGCAGCCGGUGCUGGUGCGGCUCUGGCAACGCACAACACAGUGCCACUGCUUCUGGGAACGCGUUAAAGAAACGCUACCAGAAAACAGGGAGUGCUCCUGCUUGGGUGGCACGGCCUUCGCUUUUUUUUUUUUUUUUCAGAGAAGAAAUUUUAUCUCCAGGAACCGGCGUGCUGAGAGCUGGAGAAGUUCCCGUCCCUUGGCAGCGACCGCAGCGCGCUGCCGGUGCCUGCGGAGCGUGUGUGAGAGGAGAGCCUCCAGGGUUACUUGGGGCCUGCUCAGUCCUCCUGGGGGAGAGGAGAAUCCGUUAACCACAUGGAAAUCGUAGGCAGAGGGAGGCUGAAUCGACAGCACAGGGACAUAAGUGGCACCUCCUUGCCUCAAGCCCUGAUCCACGUAACGCGGUGCCGUGGCCGCAGGCAGGUGCUGGGGAGGAAAACGGGGCUGGUGCCACUGGGGCUGGGGAGGCUGAGGCUCCGUUCAGCCUUGUGCUGGCUCCCUCCCAGAUCCUCAGCCUUCAAACUGCCCCUCUCAGAACCGUCCCAUCCCCACAGGGUGGGGAAGGAGCAGCCAAAAUGUUUUUUUUUGGUUGUUUUAUGGCUGUCUGUGUUGGGCUCGCAGGGUGCCAGGGGCGUGUUGGUGACACUGUGCACGUUACCUGCUCCUGCUCCUCCUGCUAGCACAGAGCGGUGCCUGUCCUGCCCGGGGGCUGGUCCUGCGAGCCAAGCGUGUCACAGUGCCCUGGGUUUGAUUUCCAGAGCUGAGUCGUGGUGAGGGAAGGGAGGCAAAAGGGCACCGAGCGCAAUCCCACGUGGGUCCCGUCACUAAAAGGAGGCUGUACCAGCAGGAGAUCCUCUGAGAGGAGCAGCUUUCCUCGAGGCUAUCCCCUGCUUCUAAAACUGCUGCUGCAGCUCGUUAAGCUCGGAGGCUGAUUACAGGAGGCAGCAGCACUUACCCUGUGUGGUUCUCAGUGCCCAGGCUGCUCACCUCCUCCUCCCUUAACUGCUCGUUAGCCGCCGUCGCGUUUCAGUUUUGAGAGUCCUUAUCACACGACCUUCAUGUUCAAACGCCUGGCUGCUUCCCGAGUUAUUUAGCUGCGAAGCAAAGCUGGGGAGGGAGAAACAAAACUGGGAGCAGGCAGGGAGGCUGGGGAGGCUGCAGCUGCCUGCUGGCCACGGGGAGAUGUGGCCGGAGGCGUUUGCGCGGAGCUGCCGCGUGCGGCUGGGAGUCCCCCGGGCUGGGAGACCCCCGGGCUGUGCCGGGCGGCUGCGUGGCUCCUGCAGCUCUCCCCCAGCCCAGGCUGUGUGAGCAGCACGGCCUCGUGGCCCCGCUCAGCUCUGGGGCCUGUCCUCUCCCCUCUUCAUGCCCCAAGGGCUCGCUGCCAGAGCCCAGAGGCGUUCCUCGAGGGCGUGAGGCUGCCCUGCUGCCCCGAGCCUUUGGUUUUCCCUUGUGCCACUCGGCCAGCCCCUGGGGUCCCGUCUCACUGACUGUGCCUCUGUAACUGCAGCUCCUCCUUCAGCGGCUGAUGCUGGCCCUUCAGCAGGGGCAGAGGAUGUGGCCGCAGCUCCACAGCGGGGUCGGCUCUGACCUGGAGCCUCCCUGCGCUGCUGCUGCAAGCCUGGGAGAGGGGCUGGUGGCCGGGGCGGGCAGCAGGGCUGUGCCCCAACGUGGCACUGGCACUUCUUGUCACCUGCGGCUGUGGGACGGAGCACCCGGCGCUGGGCUCGGUAUGAAAGUCACCAGAGGAGCACCAGGAAGUCAUUAAAGCCACUGCGUUUGCUUACGUACGCAAACAGCCUGUGCCCGUUUGUUUUAUCUUCAUGAAAUAGUAUCAGGCGCUUGUUUGUUUGCCUGACCGGCCUAUUUUUAAGUAACCUAUUUUUUCCAUGUUGGAAAGUUCAUGAGCUCGUGGCGUGGCGCGGGCAUCAGCGCGGGCUGGGCUGCCCUCGGGAACCUCCCGCUCCUCGGGGGCUGCGGUGGGCACCGGCCCCCUCCCCAGGGGCUGUGGAGGCAUGCAGAGGAGGCAUCAUCUGCCCUGGGCGUGCAGAUCGGGGCUGUGGAAGUGCAGGAGCCUCGCUGCCCCCAGCCAGCCUUCAGAAAGUGGUGGAGAGAGGGGGGAACCGGUGGGGGCCGGGGGCCUGCCAGCAGGCACCCCUCCGUGCCUCGUGCGGGGCGGCGAGGCGCUGGCUUUAUGGCGAGGUGCUCCGUGCUCUGCUGUCCCCAAAAGGAGGAGUGUUAAGGUCAGCUCAGUUCACUACUCCAGGUUUUUGAGCUCCGGUGCCUGAAUUUCUGCAAUUCUUGGAGGGUGGAAGCAUAAUAAAGAGGAGAACUUGAAGAAUGUUCCGCAUCGGAGCUGUAAAUGACCAGCCUGCUUGUUUGCUGCGGGAGCUAAGCUUCGUGCUGCGGGCCGGGGGGAAGAGCUCCGGAUUACAGCUGCUAAGCAAUGCGUGUGUUUAGGUCGGGGAGGGUGCCAGUGCAGAAUUCAUUUGUGACUAAGCAAAAAAAAAAAAAAAAAAAAAA